GAUGAACGCUGGCGGCGUGCCUAAUACAUGCAAGUCGAGCGAACGGACGUGAAGCUUGCUUCUCUGAUGUUAGCGGCGGACGGGUGAGUAACACGUGGAGAACCUACCUAUAAGACUGGGAUAACUACGGGAAACCGGACCUAAUACCGGAAAAUAUUUUGAACCGCAUGGUGCAAAAGUGAAAGACGGUCUUGCUGUCACUUAUAGAGGUAUCCGCGCUGCAUUAGCUAGUUGGUAAGGUAACGGCUUACCAAGGCAACGAGGCAUAGCCGACCUGAGAGAGUGAUAGUCGCCGCUGGAACAGGAACACGGGCCAGACUCCUACGGGGGGAAGGAGUAGGGACCCUUCCGAGGUGGGCGAAAGCAAGACGGCGCAACGCGGCGUGGGUGAAGAGGGCCUUCGGAUCUUAAAGCUGUGUUAUUAGGGAAGAACAUCUGUGUAAGUAGCUGUGCACAUAUUGACGGUACCUAAUCAGAAAGCCACGGCUAACUACGUG
rnacentral:rRNA from 1 species